UACGUAGGGUGCAAGCGUUGUCCGGAAUUAUUGGGCGUAAAGAGCUCGUAGGCGGUCUGUCGCGUCGGCUGUGAAAACUCGGGGCUCAACUCCGAGCCUGCAGUCGAUACGGGCAGACUAGAGUUCGGUAGGGGAGACUGGAAUUCCUGGUGUAGCGGUGAAAUGCGCAGAUAUCAGGAGGAACACCGAUGGCGAAGGCAGGUCUCUGGGCCACUACUGACGCUGAGAAGCGAAAGCAUGGGGAGCGAACAGG
rnacentral:rRNA from 1 species